GACCUGAUAACACAGUGCUUAGUGCGUCUGCUUAAUCUAGGUUAUAAUGAGUGGACUAUGCAGAAGGUCCCGGUUCGACUCCGGGUCAGGCCG